UACGUAGGGGGCAAGCGUUGUCCGGAAUCAUUGGGCGUAAAGAGCGUGUAGGCGGCUCGAUAAGUCUGCUGUGAAAGUCCAGGGCUCAACCCUGGAAGGCCGGUGGAAACUGUCGGGCUAGAGUCCGGAAGAGGCGAGUGGAAUUCCAGGUGUAGCGGUGAAAUGCGUAGAUAUCUGGAGGAACACCGGUGGCGAAGGCGGCAUCCUGGACCGGUAUUGACGCUGAUGCGCGAAAGCCAGGGAAGCAAACGGG
rnacentral:rRNA from 1 species